GAUGAACGCUGGCGGCGUGCCUAAUACAUGCAAGUCGAGCGAACAGACGAGGAGCUUGCUCCUCUGACGUUAGCGGCGGACGGGUGAGUAACACGUGGAUAAUCUACCUAUAAGACUGGGAUAAUUUCGGGAAACCGGAGCUAAUACCGGAUAAUAUAUUGAACCGCAUGGGUGAAUAGUGAAAGACGGUUUUUGUGUCACGUAUAGAUGGAUCCGCGCCUCAUUAGCUAGUUGGUAAGUUAACGGCUUAUCAAGGCGACGAUGCGUAGCCGACCUGAGAGGGUGAUCGGCCACACUGGAACUGAGACACGGUCCAGACUCCUACGGGAGGCAGCAGUAGGGAAUCUUCCGCAAUGGGCGAAAGCCUGACGGAGCAACGCCGCGUGAGUGAUGAAGGUCUUCGGAUCGUAAAACUCUGUUAUUAGGGAAGAACAAAUGUGUAAGUAACUAUGCACGUCUUGACGGUACCUAAUCAGAAAGCCACGGCUAACUACGUG
rnacentral:rRNA from 1 species